AUCCCCAUCACGAGGUCAUUUGUUAUAAAUACAGACAGUGAGAGCAUGAUGUGCACAGUUUAACCCUCCUGUAACAGAUUAAUCUACCUGCUAACCCGAGACAAACAUGAGUACUCCAGCGGCUACCACCCCUGCAGUCGGAGAUAAGGAGGGGAAGGGAAAGAAAGGAGAUGGAAAAGCUGCCGGCCAACAUGGAAAAGGUGGCGAACAUGGAAAAGGUGGCGAACAUGGAAAAGGUGGCGAACAUGGAAAAGGUGGCGAACAUGGAAAAGGUGGCGAACAUGGAAAAGGUGGCGAACAUAAAAAAGGUGGCGGAAGAGGAUGUGGUACUGAAGUACCUUAAUUGGAAAACAUUGUUCUUUAACUGUUAUAAACUCUGACAUCAUCUGUAAAAAAAAUAUGGACGUGUAUCUAUGUAUUAAAACUAUUCAGAGCCA